rnacentral:rRNA from 1 species
UACGUAGGGUGCAAGCGUUAAUCGGAAUCACUGGGCGUAAAGCGCACGCAGGCGGAUUGAUAAGUCAGGGGUGAAAUCCCGGAGCUCAACUUCGGAAUUGCCUUUGAUACUGUCAAUCUCGAGUCCGGGAGAGGUGAGUGGAAUUCCUAGUGUAGAGGUGAAAUUCGUAGAUAUGGGGGAGGAACACCGGUGGCGAAGGCGGCCACCUGGACGGGUAACUGACGCUGAGACGCGAAAGCGUGGGGAGCAAACAGG